GAUGAAGAACGUAGUGAAAUGCGAUACGUAAUGUGAAUUGCAGAAUUCAGUGAAUCAUCGAAUCUUUGAACGCAUAUUGCGCUCUCUGGUAUUCCGGAGAGCAUGCUUGUUUGAGUAUCAGUAAACACCUCAACUUCCAUAUCUUUUUUGAAAUGGGAGUUGGACUUGAGUGAUCCCAACGCUUUUCCUCACCGAAAAGUGGCGGGUUACUUGAAAUGCAGGUGCAGCUGGACUUUUCUCUGAGCUAUAAGCAUAUCUAUUUAGUCUGCCUAAAGAACAGAUUAUUACCUUUGCUGCAGCUAACAUAAAGGAGAUUAGUUCUUGUGCUGACUGAUGCAGGAUUCACAAAGACAGGCUUCGGCCGACUUUGUAAACUCGAUCUCAAAUCAAGUAAGACUACCCGCUGAACUUAAGCAUAUCAAUAAGCGGAGGA
rnacentral:misc_RNA from 1 species